UCCUGGGAUAGCUCAGUCAGUAGAGCAUGAGACUCAAUCUCAGCGUUGUAGCUUUGAGCCCUACGUUGGGCA